rnacentral:rRNA from 1 species
GAUGAACGCUGGCGGCGUGCCUAAUACAUGCAAGUCGAGCGAACAGACGAGGAGCUUGCCCCUCUGACGUUAGCGGCGGACGUGUGAGUCACAUGUGGAUAACCUACCUCUCAGACUGGGAUAACUUCGGGACACCGGCGCUAAUUCCGGAUAAUAUAUUGAACCGCAUGGUUCAAUAGUGAAAGACGGUUUUGCUUUCAUUUAUACACGGAUCCGCGCCGGAUUAGCUAGUUGGUAAGGUAACGGCUUACCAAGGCAUCGACGCGCUGCCGACGUGAGAGAGGGAUCGGCCGCACGGGAGCGUGAACGGGGACCAGAGGCCUGAGAGAGGGAGCAGAAGCGAAUCGGCCGCAAUAGGGGAGAGCAUGGCGGAACGGCGCCGCGUGAGAGAUAAAGGUGUUCGGAGCGUAAAACUCGGUUAUGAGGGGAGAACAAAUGUGUAAGUAACAAUACACGUCGUGACGGUACCUGAACAGAAAGCCACGGCUAACUACGUG